AAGUGCAUAGCUCAACUUUGGAAGAGCACCUUGUCACCAAUAAGGGGGUUGCCGGUUCAAGUCCGGCUGCAUUUU
rnacentral:tRNA from 1 species